UCGGCCGGAAGCGCCAGCAUUGGCCCUCCUGGGCAGAGCCAGUGUUGCAAGCCCUUGGAAUCCCUGGACUGUGCUGCUGGGAACGAGAGCAAGUUCCCGGAAAAGGCAGCGGAGACCUGGCCUGUGCCACCGUGGCUGUGCCUCUUCGUAACUGUGACCCGUUGUUGGACAGCAGGAGUCCGCCUCCCUGUCUGGCUUGUGCACGGAGGGUGCUGGCUCUGAACACCUUCAGCGGGAAAUAUUUGAGCCUGAACAAAACGGGUAGCCGCGGCCUCUGUUCCAGUCACACAGUCUUCCCGGACAACCUCACCCACUGCACCGUUAUCCUCAUCAACUGUCCCGUCUUCCUGGACAGCCUCUCCCACCGCCCGUCAGUGACCGCCUCUGCGAUCCAAUGCUCUGCGUCUUUGUCCCCAGCCAGGGAGCUGGCAGCAGACCGGACCGUGAGUCACGGCCCAGCAAGUGGGAUGCUUUUUUGUGCCGGUUCCUUCGCCUCCCCAAUCCUACAGGGUGACGCGUGUGGUAGCCGCGCACGCACAGCUUGCACACGAAGGAGGUUGCACCAGGGGAGAGGAACCCUGGGCUUGAAGAACAUGCUGUUUUAUGGCCAGUGGCGAACGAGCCUGCCCGGUGGCCCUGAGGGAGACGUGACCUCAUCUCUGAGGCCGCAAGCACCACCCUGAGAAAUGGGCCAAGGAAAGUGCAGCUGGGGCUUUGCCUCCUCUGUCCACUCUGAGCCACGGGAGAGCCCCAGCCGCCCUGCCGCACGGGCCACGCCUCCACAGACCUCGGUAAAGGCUGGACAGUUUCUCCCUGGGCCCCUGCUCACCCCUCCCCAGGGCUCCCCCACUGUGCUGCCCCAUUCCUUGGGCCGGUCUUCACCCCUCCCUCUCACAGACCCUUUGGCUUCUCCCCCUUGUCUGAGCUGUUCCUUGUGAAGAGCAGCAGAAUGUGACGUCACCAAAUGUGCCACUUUGACGUGUUGAUCAUUUUGAGCUCGAGAAAGAGCAGAUACAGGGGGAGGCUGUCUCUGACCCUCCCGAUCUGCCUGAACUCAGAGUCCCCAAAAGGAGCUCAGUUGCCCCUGGAGUUUCUACCACCCACCGGGGAGCAUUGACACUUGUCACAGGAGAGGAGACUAGAAGUCCCCACCACAUCCGGACACACUGGGUCACAAACUGUCACCCCUCCCAUCUCUUCUUCCAAAGACCCUUCCAUCUUUCCUCCAAAUCACUGACUGUCUCCAGAGAAGAACGCUUACCCCUGCCUUCUCCUUAUUAAGCGGGUGUUUAAGCCUGAAUUCUAAGCCAACUUGAGGAGACACUCAUUUUUCCUGCCUACCCCCCAGGUAUAUACGAUGCAUACAUGUUAAUAACCUAUUUGCGUUUCUUUUGGUAGUCGUUUGUUACAGAGGCCUCAGCCAAGAACUCAGAAGGGUAGAGGGGAAAUUAUUUUUCCUCCUCCCCAACAGUUUCGGUGACUCGGACGGGACCUCUGAGACACCUUACAGGUGGGACCCUGGGAAGACCGGCAGAAUCCAGUGAAGGAUAAGAAUUAUUUGUCCUUUUGGGGCACCUGGGUGGCUCAGUCAGUUGAGUGUCCGACUCUUGAUUUUGGCUCAGGUCGUGAUCUCACAAUUUGGCUCUUGAAAUCGAGCCCCACGUCGGGCUCUGUACUGACAGUAUGGAGCCUGCUUGGGAAAUUCUCUCUGCCCCUCCCCCUCCUCAAAAUAAAUAAAUAAACUAAGGGGAAAAAAAAGAGAUUUGUCUUCCCUACACUCGCUUGCAAGUCCUUAUCACCCUCAGUUUCUCUUCCAGUGGAGACGGUAACUGACAACAGUAGCCUGCUUUCUGUUGGGUAGAGGGAUAAGGGUGCUGGGCGGGCUUCCAGGCAAGAGCCAUAGUGGAGAGGCUGUGAGGCUGGCGGGAACAGCGUGGCAGUGAUAGGCACAGACACACAAGACAGGUGAGGACUGGAGACUUGGUCUGAAUAAAGCUUUGUGGGAGAGACCCAGCAAAAGGAGGUAAGGAUAU